GGUAAGAUGGCCGAGUAAGCAUUAGACUGUAAAUCUGAACACAGAGGUUGGAGUCCUCUUCUUGCCA